AGUGAACGCUGGCGGUAGGCCUAACACAUGCAAGUCGAACGGCAGCACAGUAAGAGCUUGCUCUUACGGGUGGCGAAUGGCGGACGGGUGAGGAAUACAUCGGAAUCUACUUUUUCGGGGGGGAUAACGUAGGUAAACUUACGCUAAUACCGCAUACGACCUACGGGUGAAAGCAGGGGAUCUUCGGACCUUGCGCGAUUGAAUGAGCCGAUGUCGGAUUAGCUAGUUGGCGGGGUAAAGGCCCACCAAGGCGACGAUCCGUAGCUGGUCUGAGAGGAUGAUCAGCCACACUGGAACUGAGACACGGUCCAGACUCCUACGGGAGGCAGCAGUGGGGAAUAUUGGACAAUGGGCGCAAGCCUGAUCCAGCCAUACCGCGUGGGUGAAGAAGGCCUUCGGGUUGUAAAGCCCUUUUGUUGGGAAAGAAAAGCAGCAGGUUAAUACCCCGCUGUUCUGACGGUACCCAAAGAAUAAGCACCGGCUAACUUCGUG
rnacentral:rRNA from 1 species